UACAGAGGUCUCAAGCGUUGUUCGGAUUCAUUGGGCGUAAAGGGUGCGUAGGUGGCUCUGUAAGUCGGGUGUGAAAUUUCGGAGCUUAACUCCGAAACUGCAUUCGAUACUGCGGUGCUUGAGGACUGGAGAGGAGACUGGAAUUCAUGGUGUAGCAGUGAAAUGCGUAGAUAUCGAGAGGAACACCUGCGGAGAAGGCGGGUUGCUGGGCUGACACUGACGCUGAUGCGCGAAAGCCAGGGGAGCGAACGAG
rnacentral:rRNA from 1 species